UAUGGCUCAGGACGAACGCUGGCGGUGUGCUUCAUACAUGCAAGUCGAACGAUAAGGGCCCUUCGGGGGAUACAUAAGUGGCGGACGGGUGAGUAACACGUAGAAAAUCUACCUCGAGGAAGGGGACAACAGUUGGAAACGACUGCUAAUACCCUAUAUGAGCUGGGCUGAAACGCCCAUCUUGAAAGUUCCGGCGCCUUGAGAUGAGUCUGCGCCUGAUUAGCUAGUUGGUGGGGUAAAUGCCUACCAAGGCGACGAUCAGUAGCUGGUUUGAGAGGAUGACCAGCCACAAUGGGACUGAGACACGGCCCAUACUCCUACGGGAGGCAGCAGUAGGGAAUUUUGCGCAAUGGGGGGAAAAACCCCCUGACGCAGCAACACCGCGUGAACGACGAAGCCCUUCGGGGUGUAAAGUUCUGUCAGUAGGGACGAAUUUUGACGGUACCUACAAAGGAAGCAUCGGCUAACUACGUGCCAGCCGCUGC
rnacentral:rRNA from 1 species